UACGUAGGGUCCGAGCGUUGUCCGGAAUUAUUGGGCGUAAAGAGCUCGUAGGCGGUCUGUCGCGUCUGCUGUGAAAAUCCAGGGCUCAACCCUGGACCUGCAGUGGGUACGGGCAGACUAGAGUGCGGUAGGGGAGAUCGGAAUUCCUGGUGUAGCGGUGAAAUGCGCAGAUAUCAGGAGGAACACCGGUGGCGAAGGCGGAUCUCUGGGCCGUAACUGACGCUGAGGAGCGAAAGCAUGGGGAGCGAACAGG
rnacentral:rRNA from 1 species